rnacentral:tRNA from 1 species
UGUGGCUCAGAGGUAGAGUGCUUGCCUACCAUGCAUGAGGCACUGGGUUUGAUUCCCAGCA